AUUGAACGCUGGCGGCAGGCCUAACACAUGCAAGUCGAACGAGUGGCGGACGGGUGAGUAAUGUCUGGGAAACUGCCCGAUGGAGGGGGAUAACUACUGGAAACGGUAGCUAAUACCGCAUACCCUCGGAUGUGCCCAGAUGGGAUUAGCUUGUAGGUGAGGUAACGGCUCACCUAGGCGACGAUCCCUAGCUGGUCUGAGAGGAUGACCAGCCACACUGGAAAUGAGAAACGGUCCAGACUCCGACGGGAGCGAGCAGUGGGGAAUAUUGCACAAUGGGCGCAAGCUGGAGGCAGCCAUGCGGGGUGGAUGAAGAAGGGCUUUGAGUUGUAAAGUACUUUGGGCGGGGAGGCGUGACCCGCAGAAGAAGCACCGGCUAACGCAGGGCCAGCAGCCGCGGUAAUAC
rnacentral:rRNA from 1 species